UUAACACAUGCAAGUCGAACGGAAAGGCCCUGCUUUUGUGGGGUGCUCGAGUGGCGAACGGGUGAGUAACACGUGAGUAACCUGCCCUUGACUUUGGGAUAACUUCAGGAAACUGGGGCUAAUACCGGAUAGGAGCUCCUGCUGCAUGGUGGGGGUUGGAAAGUUUCGGCGGUUGGGGAUGGACUCGCGGCUUAUCAGCUUGUUGGUGGGGUAGUGGCUUACCAAGGCUUUGACGGGUAGCCGGCCUGAGAGGGUGACCGGCCACAUUGGGACUGAGAUACGGCCCAGACUCCUACGGGAGGCAGCAGUGGGGAAUAUUGCACAAUGGGCGGAAGCCUGAUGCAGCAACGCCGCGUGCGGGAUGACGGCCUUCGGGUUGUAAACCGCUUUCGCCUGUGACGAAGCGUGAGUGACGGUAAUGGGUAAAGAAGCACCGGCUAACUACGUGCCAGCAGCCGCGGUGAUACGUAGGGUGCGAGCGUUGUCCGGAUUUAUUGGGCGUAAAGGGCUCGUAGGUGGUUGAUCGCGUCGGAAGUGUAAUCUUGGGGCUUAACCCUGAGCGUGCUUUCGAUACGGGUUGACUUGAGGAAGGUAGGGGAGAAUGGAAUUCCUGGUGGAGCGGUGGAAUGCGCAGAUAUCAGGAGGAACACCAGUGGCGAAGGCGGUUCUCUGGGCCUUUCCUGACGCUGAGGAGCGAAAGCGUGGGGAGCGAACAGGCUUAGAUACCCUGGUAGUCCACGCUGUAAACGGUGGGUACUAGGUGUGGGGUCCAUUCCACGGGUUCCGUGCCGUAGCUAACGCUUUAAGUACCCCGCCUGGGGAGUACGGCCGCAAGGCUAAAACUCAAAGGAAUUGACGGGGCCCCGCACAAGCGGCGGAGCAUGCGGAUUAAUUCGAUGCAACGCGUAGAACCUUACCUGGGUUUGACAUGGAUCGGGAGUGCUCAGAGAUGGGUGUGCCUCUUUUGGGGUCGGUUCACAGGUGGUGCAUGGCUGUCGUCAGCUCGUGUCGUGAGAUGUUGGGUUAAGUCCCGCAACGAGCGCAACCCUUGUUCACUGUUGCCAGCACGUUAUGGUGGGGACUCAGUGGAGACCGCCGGGGUCAACUCGGAGGAAGGUGGGGAUGACGUCAAGUCAUCAUGCCCCUUAUGUCCAGGGCUUCACGCAUGCUACAAUGGCUGGUACAGAGAGUGGCGAGCCUGUGAGGGUGAGCGAAUCUCGGAAAGCCGGUCUCAGUUCGGAUUGGGGUCUGCAACUCGACCUCAUGAAGUCGGAGUCGCUAGUAAUCGCAGAUCAGCAACGCUGCGGUGAAUACGUUCCCGGGGCUUGUACACACCGCCCGUCAAGUCAUGAAAGUUGGUAACACCCGAAGCCGGUGGCCUAACCGUUGUGGGGGAGCCGUCGAAGGUGGGACUGGUGAUUAGGACUAAGU
rnacentral:rRNA from 1 species